AGUGAACGCUGGCGGUAGGCCUAACACAUGCAAGUCGAACGGCAGCACAGUAAGAGCUUGCUCUUACGGGUGGCGAGUGGCGGACGGGUGAGGAAUACAUCGGAAUCUACUUUUUCGUGGGGGAUAACGUAGGGAAACUUACGCUAAUACCGCAUACGACCUACGGGUGAAAGCAGGGGAUCUUCGGACCUUGCGCGAUUGAAUGAGCCGAUGUCGGAUUAGCUAGUUGGCGGGGUAAAGGCCCACCAAGGCGACGAUCCGUAGCUGGUCUGAGAGGAUGAUCGGCCACACUGGAGCUUGGACACGGUCCAGACUCCUACGAGAGGCAGCAGUGGGGAAUAGUGGACAAUGGGGGCAAGCCUGAUCCAGCCAUACCGCGUGGGUGAAGAAGGCCUUCGGGUUGUAAAGCCCUUUUGUUGGGAAAGAAAAGCAGCAGGUUAAUACCCCGCUGUUCUGACGGUACCCAAAGAAUAAGCACCGGCUAACUUCGUG
rnacentral:rRNA from 1 species